rnacentral:rRNA from 1 species
UUUUUGAAACCUAAAGAAUUUGGCGGCAUUAUAUCUUUUUAGAGGAACCUGUUCUUUAAAUGAUGUUACACGAUUGGCUUUACUAAAAAUAUUUGUUUGUAUAUUUCCGUUAUAAGAAUAUUUAAUGAUAAUAUUUUCUUGUUUUUUUAUAAAAAUAUAUUUCAGGUCAAGGUGCAGCUUAUUUUUUAGUAAGAAAUGGGUUACAAUAAUUGAAUUUAUAUGGAUAUUUUUAUUAAAUUUUGAAUUGAAGGUGGAUUUAUUAGUAAGUUUUAAUAAUUAUUAUUUCUGAAUUAGUUCUAUUUUGUGU